UGGCAGAGCUAGUGGGAAGGGACCGUACAGAGAUGCCUUGCCGACCUGAGAAACGGAUUUGGUCAGGAGUACGGGUGCACAGUCGAGACUCCGGAUUGGAAAAUGAAGCUUGGAGUGAGGACAUCCAUUGCUCCUGGGGAACAGCUAGGGAGUGCACCGGGAAGACAAUAAAAACCAGGAUCUACUGACCACAGAACCCGUGGUUGCCAGUGUGGUGGGUGAGAUGUUUCCACUUGCCAUCGGCAAUAAAGACUUGCCUCUUAGUGGAGACAACAAUUCCUUUCUCCCUUCAGUCUUUCAGAUCCUGAAGGAGAGAGACUGUAUUUGGUGCUGUAAGCCUUUAUCACUGCAAAUGCUGAUGUUUCUCUUUAAUAGAAAAGAGCAGACAGAACAGGAGCAAGCUUGGGAUUAGAGCCUCCACAGAUGAAGACCAGACAGUACUGAACACUGGCUUCAGAAACUCAUUUCUGUGGUCAAUUUUCUACUUCUGGCAAAUGAUCUCGUUUUUCUAUGUGCAUGGAGUGAGAGUCUUAAACAAUACAUAUAUGUAUUUUUUAGUCCAUUAAAAAAAUUGCCAGGG